UAAAAUAUAUCAUAUGUAUAUAUAUGAAGUCUUGUACACUGGGUUUCCACUGGUCGAUUGUAUAACUUUUUACUGAUCGUCUUUUGGUUACGUGUUGACCUGGGGACGAGUCAGUCAGUGUACGACCUGACGUUCACGCAAGUGAUCAAAGCGCUUUUUUUUUCAAUGUUCCUUUCUGGGCGCGAAGUCAGGGAAAUAUUCGCAAGGAUGGAGAACAUUCAACAGAAUCAGUAUGCAAUCAAGCAUGGAAUGGAUUCCAGAUAGGAAUAUAGGAUUCACCUUACACUCAGAAACUGGGGGAUAGGCCUAGUUGUUCAAAAUACACGGCGUUGCUGGUUAGUAUUUUUACUUUUGGUUUGUAAUAAUUCGUCUUUUUUGGUAGUCUAGUGGAAUUGUCACACCUUAACAAAUUAUCAUCCUGUUUCCAAUAUUUUUAUCUAGUACAUGUUCUCUUUCAUUGUAGCAUGGACUUGAAGAGAUAGUUAUGAAUUUAGAAUAUCAUCAAGUGACUUUUAAUAAGGCACUGUUUUCAGUGGAUGAACCGACAUCAUGCAGUGUGACAGGAAAACGCCCGUGAGACCAAAGAUGGCUUAGAUAAAAGGGAAGACGAUGCAGAAGCCUCUGUACCAGAGAAAAAUCCAGAGAUGGCCCUCAAAGAAGUUAGAAACAAGAUGAGAGACCGUCUCAAGUUGUUUAGGUCUGGAGCCACCU